UAAAUUCUAAGAAACCUUUCAGGUAUCAAAUUAAAUACAAAGUGCAAAAUGUAUCUUAAAUAUUUGCUCAAUAUAAAUUUGAAGUUGUUCGAUAAGGUUUAGUUCAGUUUAAAUUGGAAAAUUGAGUUUUUCGAAAGUUGUAAAUUCGUUGUGAUGGAUGUACUGUGAUUAAUAAAUGGAUUUAUAUUGAUCGGUGGAAGAAACCAAAGUCUCCCAAAACGGUUUACUUCUUAAGCAAAAUAUCACCAGACAUCAGCUCGGCCAUAAACAGUACAUGGCCAUAUCCAAUUUAUUCAUCGGAACCAAAUUUAAGGGCUGUUGCAUGUUUCACCAAGGUAAAUAAGGAUUUACUACGACCACUCACAUAUAGAAAAAAAACUCUGAUCAUUGUAAGCGAUUUCCAGUUUUAUGUCACAGCGAUUGAUACUCAGAGUUUGACUGGAACUGUCAU